GAAGCCGCGGCGCCGCUUCCCUGGGAUCACGGACGCAAACCACGUUUCCAGCUACCUCGCUCACCAACCCCGGACGCCCGCCGGUCCUUAGCCGGCCCUGGGGACCUUUAACGUGCGGAGUGAGUUCCAAGGCACAGAGAAGUCGAGUAACCUGCUCAAUUCAAUGCCUCCAUCUGCAAGACCCCAGCUUGAUGACUUCCAGGCCAAACAUGAACCCGCCUCUUGGUCGCGUGGACCGCAGUGUUAUGAUGACCCCUUAAUUCAGGGGGUGGGGACUCCCGUGGGGGCUUGGUGGUUUGCCUUUCUGUCUGUGGACACCCCACUGGCACCCAUGCUGAGUCCUGAGAUUGUGAGGGUGCAGACUGUGGAGUUAAAUAAGGACCUGACCGCGGGUGAAGGGAGCUGGAGCAAACUCAGGACUGUCUGCGACCAUUCAUCAUGCCUGGUUCCAGGCCAAGGUAAGCAACAAACCUCCGGACAGCUGCAUGGAAUAAUGACCCCCUGGCCUGGUGCUGACCAGUUAGUCAAUCAGUGGAGACCACAACCCUGAGAGGACACACCUGGAAAACUGCUGAAUAUUCUAUGGAGAUUUUCCCCUGGGACCGCCCCUAAGAUCUCCGACCCAAUGCUCUCCCUCCUGGGAGCAGGCCUUUGCCCUUCCCUUCCCUUCCCUUCCCUUCCCUUCCCUUCCCUUCCUUUCCCUUCCCUUCUCUUCCCCUCCUUUCCUUCCCCCUUUCUCUCCCCUUCCCUCCCAAGCUCCAAAGGCCCAUUCUUUGCCUUCAUAACUCAUUUCCUAAGCCCCUCUCUUCUAGGAAUUACUUUUCCUACCUCUGUAAUUUACUCAAUAAACGUCCUCU